GGGUUAGUAGGUUGGUCAUGCCUCUGGUAUGUACUGGUCUCACUGAUUCCUCCUUCCUGAUGAGCCGUAAUGCCAUUAAUUUGGUGUUGCGGGGAAUUUGGACUGUUACUUUGAAAAAAUUAGAGUGCUUAAAGCAGGCCAGUGCCUGAAUAGGUUAGCAUGGAAUAAUAAAAUAGGACGUCCGAUCCUAUUUUGUUGGUUUCUAGGAUUGACGUA
rnacentral:rRNA from 1 species